AAGGCUAUGUGUAACUGGCGAAACGCGGAUCACCGCGAGGGAGCACAUAGUGUCGUUGCCGUUCGCCUGGGCAGAGGUA
rnacentral:ncRNA from 2 species